CAAGAACCCCAGGUCAGAGAACACGAGGCUUGCCACCAUCUUGGAAGUGGCCUGCCACCAUCUUGGGAGCUCGGGAGCAAGGACCCCCUCGUAACAGUGAAAUUCUGAAGAUAAAUGACAUACAAGUGCCAAAUUUACAGUUCCAAAAUGAAGAGUUCUGCAUUCAAAAAAAGGAUGAGAAAGGAUGUUAUUUGAGCUAGACCUUCAAGCACAAGAGGAAUUCCGAUAAGUACGAGGCACUGGAAAAUUAUUAUAGUCAAGGAUAAUGGCAAAAGCAGAGAAUAAAGGCAGGAAGGGGCAUGUAGUGAUCAGAAGCCAAAACAAAAAUCAGUGGGCAGAUACAUUCUUUAGAACAACUCAUUAUUAUCGUCAUUAUAUACACAAGAAAACAGAGUUCAUCAGAUAGGUUCAGCAGAUUGUUCAAGGUCACAUAGCAAAAGAUGGAGACUCUUGGAUUUUAUCCCAGCCAGACCAACUCUAACCACCAUCCUGUGCAGCCUGAGACCAAUUGUUAAAGUUACAUGUAUUGGUAUGACCAUUUCCACCUGACAGCAAAUGCAAGGGAACCAUAAAUACCACACAAAGAAGAAAAAAAAAAUGAAGAGAGAAUGAAUGAAAGAAAAAUGUUUGGCAAUGGGAACCUACAAUUAUGACUCAAAUGCCCCUAACUUCAAUAAAAGGGAAAUGAACUAUGAAAUUAUUGAAGGAAGCAGUAUAUGAAAAUGAAGGCAUAGAUACUCCAUUCAAAUCUCUUAAUAUAUAAAUUUAAAUAUUCACUCCAUUUUAAGUGAAUGAUUCUGUCAAAAGAAUUAAUUUUCUGAGCAAUGAGGAUAUUCAUUUACCAUGAUUCCACCAUCUGCAAUUUAUGAACCAAAUUAUACUCUUUCAGAAAAAAAGAAGUUCAUACAAUGCAUUUAAACUACAUCAAGACCAAAUCAAAAAUGUUUUCCUAAAAUUGAAGAAAUCACCAAGUAAAAGUUAAUCACCU
rnacentral:lncRNA from 10 species